rnacentral:rRNA from 1 species
GGCCUUUACUGACGCUAAAGCUCGAAGGUGCGGGUAUCGAACAGGAUUAGAUACCCUGGUAGUCCGCACGGUAAACGAUGGAUGCCCGCUGUUUGCGAUAUACUGUGAGCGGCCAAGAGAAAUCGUUAAGCAUCCCACCUGGGGAGUACGCCGGCAACGGUGAAACUCAAAGGAAUUGACGGGGGCCCGCACAAGCGGAGGAACAUGUGGUUUAAUUCGAUGAUACGCGAGGAACCUUACCCGGGCUUGAACUGCAGCGGAAGGAUACAGAGAUGUUGACGUCCUUCGGGACCGCUGUGGAGGUGCUGCAUGGUUGUCGUCAGCUCGUGCCGUGAGGUGUCGGCUUAAGUGCCAUAACGAGCGCAACCCCUUUCAUUAGUUGCCAUCACUUCGGGUGGGCACUCUGGUGAUACUGCCACCGUAAGGUGUGAGGAAGGUGGGGAUGACGUCAAAUCAGCACGGCCCUUACGUCCGGGGCUACACACGUGUUACAAUGGGUGAUACAGAUGGCAGGUUCACGGCAACGUGGAUCAAAUCUUGAAAGUCAUCCUCAGUUCGGAUUGGGGUCUGCAACCCGACCCCAUGAAGCUGGAUUCGCUAG